GACAGGUCAAACAUCUCUCAGACUUUCCCCAGUCAAGCCAUCUCUACUUUCUCAUCCAAGGCAGACUGGCAGACAUCCAAGAACAUUAAGCUUCCAAGCUCAGGUGCCUCCAACCACUCAUUCAAAAUUUCUUACGGUGUGGAUUCAACAAAGGUAACUAUCCUUGAUGGGAUGUGAAUGCUAACUGAUGCUCAUAGAAUAAAAUGCUGAAAUAAGUUCUGUAGGCAUCCACGAGAAGAAUCCAAUCAUCAGGUUGAACUUUUCCAUCGUUCUCAAACACUAGUGGUUCCAGUUUCGAUUGAUGCAAGACUGAUGCCAAAUUCAAGAUAAUUUUGAGCCAGGCCAAAUGCAUUUUCCGUUCUAGUGUUCAUGUCCCCCUUUAAAAGACUGAAGUCCAUGUUUUUGACCAGUUUGUGCUUGAGCGUAUGGGGUUGACGAAGCAACAGACCUGCUUUGUAAAGGCAAAUGGUAUGAAGCAGGUUUUGUGUGCAACAGUUGAUAAUACCUCUCUGUAGAUCAAGAGACUCACUUAGGCAUUUCCGCAGCAUUGCUACUUCCUCCUUCAAUGACUCAACCUGUGUCUCCAGGCAAUCCGCUGAUGUUGGUACUCUCCGCCUGGGUGGAUACUCAAAGCAUGCAGAUUGAUGCCAUAGAGGACAGAAGUUCUGAGAAAUCACUCAUCGAACUCCAGAGGAAUGAGUUCAUAUCUGCAGGAC
ensembl:lncRNA